rnacentral:rRNA from 1 species
AUGGCCACGUCCGCAACGGCGGCUCGGCACAUGGUCGCUUUGCCGUACCCGGGCCGCGGCCACAUCAACCCCAUGCUUGCCGUGUGCCGCCUGCUCGUCGGCGCCGACGGCGCCCUCACCGUCACCGUCGUCGUCACGGAGGAGUGGCACGGGCUGCUGGCCUCCGCCGGAGUGUCCACCACGCUGCCGGAGUGCGUCCGCCUCGUCACCGUCCCCAACGUCAUCCCCUCAGAGCACGGCCGUGGGGCCGACCACGCCGGCUUCAUCGAGGCAGUAAGCUGCAAUUUGGCGGAGCCCGUCGAGCGGCUGCUCGACCGGCUGGUGCUGGAGCUGGGGCGGAGGCCAGAAGCUAUCGUGGCCGACACAUGCCUGCAGUGGGCGGUCGCGGCCGGCGCGCGGCGCGGGAUACCGGUGUGCUCGCUGUGGACCCAGCCGGCCACGUUCUUCCUGGCGCUCUGCCAUUUGGACGUGUGGCCGCCGGUGGAUGAAGGUGCCAGCGAAGAAGAAUUAAGCUGCAAGUCCAUGGAGCAAUACGUCCCGGGCCUGUCAUCAGUAAGAUUGUCUGAUCUCAAGAUCUUCAGAGCCUGGGAGCGGCCAAUGAAAAUAGUAGCAGAGGCGUUCGCCAACGUACGUAAAGCGCAGUGCGUCCUCUUCACCUCCUUCCACGAGCUCGAGCCCAGUUCCAUGAACACAAUAGCAGAGUCACUUCGCUCCCCAAUCUAUCCAAUCGGCCCUUCAAUCCUACGUGCGCCGGACAAAGGGGAGAGCGCCCGUGACGAGGAGCACCGGCGCUGGCUGGACGCGCAGCCGGAGAACUCGGUGCUGUACGUCUCGUUCGGCAGCUUCGUCGCCAUGCCGCCCAAGCAGGUCGAGGAGAUCGCCGUGGGGCUGCGCGACAGCGCGGUCAGGUUCUUCUGGGUGGCCCGGGACAGGGCCACCGCCGGCCUGCGGGAGAAGUGCGGCGACAAGGGGAUGGCGGUGCCGUGGUGUGACCAGCAGGAGGUGCUGAGCCACCCGUCCGUCGGCGGCUUCCUCAGCCACUGCGGGUGGAACUCGGUGCUCGAAGCCGUGUGCGCUGGAGUGCCCGUGAUUGGCUUCCCUGUUGUGUGGGAUCAGCUGGUGAAUGCCCGGAUGGUCGCCGACGAAUGGAAGACCGGCAUCAACCUGAGGCAGCAGAGGGGGGAGGAUGGGAUCGUGAGCAGGGCCGCGGUCUCUGAUGCCGCGAGGAAGCUGAUGGAUUUGGACAGUGAUGCCGGCCGGGAGAUGAGGAGGAGGGCUGCCCAGCUGCGGGAUGCUUCCCGUGGUGCGGUCCUCGAAGGCGGCUCGUCGCAGCGUUCUCUCAGCGGUUUCCUGGAGGAUCUUGUCGACGGAAAAUUGGAGGUCGCUGAAAGUUCUGCGUGA